GAUUAUUUGAAUUCAGCAACAGUGAAGCAUUUAUUAAUUCAUAACAAUAUUAUUAUGAUAUGUUUUUUUUCUGUAUUUUUAAUGAGAUGUAAAUUUACACAAAUUUUGAUUCUCUGCCAGGAGAGUAGAGAUUAACAAACUAAGCUGAAACAGAGGAAAGGUAAGUGGCGCUUAACAGGUAAGGCUGCGGAGCAGUGGAAGAUGGGGCUUGACAGGUAAGGCUGCGGAGCAGUGGAAGAUGGGGCUUAACAGGUAAGGCUGCGGAGCAGUAGAAGAUGGGGCUUGACAGGUAAGGCUGCGGAGCAGUGGAAGAUGGGGCUUGACAGGUAAGGCUGCGGAGCAGUGGAAGAUGGGACUUAACAGGUAAGGCUGCGGAGUAGUAGAAGAUGGGGCUUAACAGGUAAGGCUGCAGAGCAGUAGAAGAGGGGCUUAACAGGUAAGGCUGCGGAGCAGUAGAAGAUGGGGCUUAACAGGUAAGGCUGCGGAGCAGUAGAAGAUGGGGCUUGACAGGUAAGGCUGCGGAGCAGUGGAAGAUGGGGCUUAACAGGUAAGGCUGCGGAGCAGUGGAAGAUGGGGCUUAACAGGCUAAGCUAGAGUUGAGUUGAAUGUAAAAUGUGAUUAACAGGCUAAGCUGAAUCAAGGAGAAGGUAAGUGAUGUUUAACAAGCUAAUCUGCAAUGGAAGGGAGGUAAGUGGAGCUAAACUGGAGUAGAUGGAACAUAAGUGGGGCCUACCACGCUAUGCUGGACUGGAUGGUGAUGGAGAAUGAAUUAUUUUAUCUAUGCAAUGCUUAGUGAAUAUUCCCCUAGACAUACAGAGCUAUAAAUAUAUGUAUUAACCUAUAGAUGUAUUGCAUACUGAGAUGUGGAUUUAAUAACAUAUAUUAUCGUAUCAGUUGCAGCCAAGACAGAAAAUUCUUGCUUUUAUUCACUUUUAUUCCACAGCGCCUGCUGACACAGAGACGAUAACCUUUGCAUUAUUUAGAGAAGACGUGCUAGAAACAUAGAAACAUAGAAUGUGAUGUUAGAUAAGAACCAUUCGGCCCUUCUAGUCUGCCCAAUUUUCUAAAUAUUUUCACUAGUCCCUAGCCUUAUCUUAUAGUUAGGAUAGCCUUAUGCCUAUCCCACGCAUGCUUAAACUCCUUUACUGUGUUAACCUCUACCACUUCAGCUGGAAGGCUAUUCCAUGCAUCCACUACCCUCUCAGUUAAGUAAUACUUCCUGAUAUUAUUUUUAAACCUUUGCCCCUCUAAUUUAAGACUAUGUCCUCUUGUUGUGGUAGUUCUCCUUCUUUUAAAUAUAGUCUCCUCCUUUACUGUGUUG